rnacentral:rRNA from 1 species
AACGUAGGACACAAGCGUUAUCCGGAGUUACUGGGCGUAAAGCGUGUGUAGGCGGGUCGUUAAGUGUCCUGUGAAAUCCCACGGCUCAACCGUGGAACUGCUGGGUAUACUGGUUGUCUUGAGCCAGCUAGGGGCGAGCGGAACAGACGGUGGAGCGGUGAAAUGCGUAGAUAUCGUCUGGAACGCCGAAGGUGAAGACAGCUCGCUGGGGCUGCGCUGACGCUGAGACACGAAAGCCAGGGGAGCGAACGGG